rnacentral:rRNA from 1 species
AGUGAUCCGGUGGUUCUGAAUGGAAGGGCCAUCGCUCAACGGAUAAAAGGUACUCCGGGGAUAACAGGCUGAUACCGCCCAAGAGUUCAUAUCGACGGCGGUGUUUGGCACCUCGAUGUCGGCUCAUCACAUCCUGGGGCUGAAGUAGGUCCCAAGGGUAUGGCUGUUCGCCAUUUAAAGUGGUACGCGAGCUGGGUUUAGAACGUCGUGAGACAGUUCGGUCCCUAUCUGCCGUGGGCGCUGGAGAACUGAGGGGGGCUGCUCCUAGUACGAGAGGACCGGAGUGGACGCAUCACUGGUGUUCGGGUUGUCAUGCCAAUGGCACUGCCCGGUAGCUAAAUGCGGAAGAGAUAAGUGCUGAAAGCAUCUAAGCACGAAACUUGCCCCGGGAUGAGUUCUCCCUGAGACUUAGAGUCUCCUGAAGGAACGUUGAAGACGACGACGUUGAUAGGCCGGGUGUGUAAGCGCAGCGAUGCGUUGAGCUAACCGGUACUAAUGAACCGUGAGGCUUAACCUUACAACGCCGAA